rnacentral:rRNA from 1 species
AGAGCGAACGCUGGCGGCAGGCUUAACACAUGCAAGUCGAGCGCCCCGCAAGGGGAGCGGCAGACGGGAGAGUAACACGUGGGAACGUACCUUUCGGUUCGGAACAACCCAGGGAAACUUGGGCUAAUACCGGAUACGUCCGUAAGGAGAAAGAUUUAUCGCCGAAAGAUCGGCCCGCGUCUGAUUAGCUAGUUGGUGAGGUAACGGCUCACCAAGGCGACGAUCAGUAGCUGGUCUGAGAGGAUGAUCAGCCUCACUGGGACUGAGACACGGCCCAGACUCCUACGGGAGGCAGCAGUGGGGAAUAUUGGACAAUGGGCGCAAGCCUGAUCCAGCCAUGCCGCGUGGGUGAUGAAGGCCCUAGGGUUGUAAAGCCCUUUCGGGCGGGAAGAUAAUGACGGUACCCGCAGAAGAAGCCCGGCUAACUUCGCGCCAGCAGCGC